AGUGGGGAAUAUUGCGCAAUGGGGGAAACCCUGACGCAGCGACGCCGCGUGCGGGAUGAAGGCCUUCGGGUUGUAAACCGCUUUUGAUUGGGAGCAAGCCUUCGGGUGAGUGUACCUUUCGAAUAAGCGCCGGCUAACUACGUGCCAGCAGCCGCGGUAAUACGUAGGGCGCAAGCGUUAUCCGGAAUUAUUGGGCGUAAAGAGCUUGUAGGCGGUUCGUCGCGUCUGGUGUGAAAGCCCAUCGCUUAACGGUGGGUCUGCGCCGGGUACGGGCGGGCUAGAGUGCAGUAGGGGAGACUGGAAUUCCCGGUGUAACGGUGGAAUGUGUAGAUAUCGGGAAGAACACCAAUGGCGAAGGCAGGUCUCUGGGCUGUUACUGACGCUGAGAAGCGAAAGCGUGGGGAGCGAA
rnacentral:rRNA from 1 species